rnacentral:rRNA from 1 species
GACGAACGCUGGCGGCGUGCUUAACACAUGCAAGUCGAACGGACAGGCCCUGCUUUUGUUGGUUGCUCGAGUGGCGCACGGGUGUGUAACACGUGAGUAACCCCCCCUUGACUUUGGGAUAACUUCUCGAAACUGGGGCUAAUACCCGAUAGGAUCUCCUGCUGCAUGGUGGGGGUUGGAAAGUUUCGGCGGUUGGGGCUCGUCUCGCGGCUUAUCAGCUUGUUGGUGGGGUAGUGGCUUACCAAGGUUUUGACGGGUAGCCGGCCUGAGAGGGUGACCGGCCACAUUGGGACUGAGAGACGGCCCAGAAUCCUACGGGAGGCAGCAGUGGGGAAUAUUGCACAAUGGGCGGAAGCCUGAUGCAGCAACGCCGCGUGCGGGAUGACGGCCUUCGGGUUGUAAACCGCUUUCGCCUGUGACGAAGCGUGAGUGACGGUAAUGGGUAAAGAAGCACCGGCUAACUACGUG